rnacentral:rRNA from 1 species
CUUUCGGAAACGGAAGCUGAUACCGGAUAGGGACAGAGACGGCAUCGACUCUGUGUUAAAGGAGCUGAAAGGCUCCGCGCACGGAUGGACCUGCGGUGCAUUAGCUGGUUGGUGAGGUAACGGCCCACCAAGGCGACGAUGCAUAGCCGGCCUGAGAGGGCGGACGGCCACACUGGGACUGAGACACGGCCCAGACUCCUACGGGAGGCAGCAGUAGGGAAUUUUCGUCAAUGGGCGCAAGCCUGAACGAGCAAUGCCGCGUGAACGAGGAAGGUCUUCGGAUCGUAAAGUUCUGUUGAAGGGGAAAAAGAGCGGAGAGAGGAAAUGGUCUCCGAUUGAUAUUACCCUUCGAGGAAGUCACGGCUAACUACGUGCCAGCAGCCGCGGUAAUACGUAGGUGGCGAGCGUUAUCCGGAAUGAUUGGGCGUAAAGGGUGCGUAGGCGGCCUGCUAAGUCUGGAGUGAAAGGUACCGGCUCAACCGGUACAGGCUCUGGAAACUGGCGGGCUAGAGAGCAGGAGAGGGCGGUGGAACUCCAUGUGUAGCGGUAAAAUGCGUAGAUAUAUGGAAGAACACCAGUGGCGAAGGCGGCCGCCUGGCCUGUUACUGACGCUGAGGCACGAAAGCGUGGGGAGCAAAUAGGAUUAGAUACCCUAGUAGUCCACGCCGUAAACGAUGAGGACCAAGUGUUGGGGAAGACCCAGUGCUGCAGUUAACGCAGUGAGUCCUCCGCCUGGGGAGUAUGCACGCAAGUGUGAAACUCAAAGGAAUUGACGGGGGCCCGCACAAGCGGUGGAGUAUGUGGUUUAAUUCGAAGCAACGCGAAGAACCUUACCAGGCCUUGACAUAGGGUGCGAAGCUAUGGAGACAUAGUGGAGGUAAACAUCCAUACAGGUGGUGCAUGGUUGUCGUCAGCUCGUGUCGUGAGAUGUUCAGUUAAGUCUGGCAACGAGCGCAACCCUCGUGAUGUGUUACCAAUAUCGAGUUAGGGACUCACAUCAGACUGCCGGUGAGAAACCGGAGGAAGGCGGGGAUGACGUCAAAUCAUCAUGCCCCUUAUGGCCUGGGCUACACACGUACUACAAUGGCGGCGACAGAGGGCAGCGAGCCUGCGAAGGCAAGCGAAUCCCCAAAAAGCCGUCCCAGUUCGGAUUGGAGUCUGCAACCCGACUCCAUGAAGUUGGAAUCGCUAGUAAUCGCGGAUCAGCAUGCCGCGGUGAAUACGUUCUCGGGCCUUGCACACACCGCCCGUCAA